AGUUUGAUCCUGGCUCAGAUUGAACGCUGGCGGCAGGCCUAACACAUGCAAGUCGAGCGCGAAAGUCCUUCGGGGCGAGUAGAGCGGCGGACGGGUGAGUAACGCGUAGGAAUCUACCUGGUAGUGGGGGACAACUUGUGGAAACGCAAGCUAAUACCGCAUACGCCCUAUGGGGGAAAGUGGGGGACCUUCGGGCCUCACGCUAUCGGAUGAGCCUGCGUAGGAUUAGCUAGUUGGUGAGGUAAAGGCUCACCAAGGCGACGAUCCUUAGCUGGUCUGAGAGGAUGAUCAGCCACACUGGGACUGAGACACGGCCCAGACUCCUACGGGAGGCAGCAGUGGGGAAUAUUGCGCAAUGGGGGCAACCCUGACGCAGCCAUGCCGCGUGUGUGAAGAAGGCCUUAGGGUUGUAAAGCACUUUCAAUUGGGAAGAAAAGUUGGUCGUUAAUAGCGGCCAGCCCUGACAUUACCUUUAGAAGAAGCACCGGCUAACUCCGUGCCAGCAGCCGCGGUAAUACGGAGGGUGCGAGCGUUAAUCGGAAUUACUGGGCGUAAAGCGCGCGUAGCGGUUUGUUAAGUCAGCUGUGAAAGCCCUGGGCUCAACCUGGGAACUGCAGUUGAUACUGGGCGACUAGAGUAUGAAAGAGGGAGGUAGAAUUCCAUGUGUAGCGGUGAAAUGCGUAGAUAUAUGGAGGAAUACCAGUGGCGAAAGCGGCCUCCUGGUUCAAUACUGACGCUGAGUGCGAAAGCGUGGGGAUCAAACAGGAUUAGAUACCCUGGUAGUCC
rnacentral:rRNA from 1 species